rnacentral:rRNA from 1 species
GAUGAAGGCCUUAGGGUUGUAAAGCUCUUUUGUCCGGGAAGAUAAUGACUGUACCGGAAGAAUAAGCCCCGGNUAACUUCGUGCCAGCAGCCGCGGUAAUACGAAGGGGGCUAGCGUUGCUCGGAAUCACUGGGCGUAAAGGGCGCGAAGGCGGACUCUUAAGUCGGGGGUGAAAGCCCAGGGCUCAACCCUGGAAUUGCCUUCGAUACUGAGAGUCUUGAGUUCGGAAGAGGUUGGUGGAACUGCGAGUGUAGAGGUGAAAUUCGUAGAUAUUCGCAAGAACACCAGUGGCGAAGGCGGCCAACUGGUCCGAUACUGACGCUGAGGCGCGAAAGC